GACGAACGCUGGCGGCGUGCUUAACACAUGCAAGUCGAACGGAAAGGCCCUGCUUUUGUGGGGUGCUCGAGUGGCGAACGGGUGAGUAACAAGUGAGUAACCUGCCCUUGACUUUUGGAUAACUUCAGGAAACUGGGGCUAAUACCAGAUAGGAGCUCCUGCUGCAUGGUGGGGGUUGGAAAGGUUCGGCGGUGGGGGAUGGACUCGCGGCUUAUCAGCUUGUUGGUGGGGUAGUGGCUUACCAGGGGUUGGACGGGUAGCCGGCUUGGGAGGGUGACCGGCAACAUGGGGACGGAGAUAGGGCCAAGACUCCUAGGGGAGGCAGAGGGGGGAAUUAUUGCACAAGGGGCGGAGGCCGGAGGCAGAAACGCCGGUGGCGGAUGGACGGCCUUCGGGUGGAAAACCGUUUUCGCCUGUGACGAAGCGUGAGUGACGGUAAUGGGUAAAGAAGCACCGGCUAACUACGUG
rnacentral:rRNA from 1 species